UUGCUAACCUGGUAGAUGGAAACAUACUGACACCAACAUAUGGGUCUAAUUUGGGAACCAAUAUACUGAAACAAGUGACGCCACCAGGUGAGCGGGGCCCGGUAAGAGCUCAGCAACAGGUGAGUGCUGCUGGUCUCUCUUGAGCUCAUGUUUUAAUCCAGUAUUUGUUUACAGUUUGGCGAAUUGGCACAAUUAAAAAAUCAUGCCGAAUUAUCUAUUAUCAGUUCGUGUUUGCAGUGUGUUAAUGCAUGUAGGGACAGCUGUCACUAAAUUACUGUGAUACUGUAGAAAACUUGAAAACGUGAUGAUUCUCAGGCAAAUUCUGAAGCGUCUUUUUUCCUCUGAUUUCUAAGCGGAUUUCUUUGUUCUUCCAAAAAAAAAAAAAAAAAACACAAAAAACAACGUUUUUCACAAUAUCUGUGUUACCAGGAGGAGUUUUGAACAAAUACCUUCAAAGUUAAAGCUUAUCGUUGUUGAAAAUAUGAUUAUUUAGGCCUAGGUAUUUGCGAGAGUUUGGCGGCAACUCCAGGAAUUAACUGGUCCCAGCCAGCUGUUUGACGUCAACUCCUGAGUUACCUGAUUUCCUGCCUGGAUUUCCUCCGAUGUCCUCAUCCCGCACGAUCUGCUGUACGUCAACAUCAAUCAAGGCCAGACGGUCAGAAGUCGACAAGCUCCUCAAUCGGAGAUGAGAGAGAGCAAUCAUAGACCCGCGGCUCAUCCUGCACCUUUCGCUGCUGUUUUGCAUCCAGAUGGAAAAACACGUUUCU